AUACUUACCUGGCAGGGGAGACACCAUGAACAGGCAGGUGGUUUUCCCAGGGCGAGGCUCAUCCCUUGCACUCCGGGUGUGCUGACCCCUGCGAUUUCCCCAAAUGCGGGAAACUCGACUGCAUAAUUUGUGGUAGUGGGGGACUGCGUUCGCGCUCUCCCCUG
rnacentral:snRNA from 1 species